rnacentral:rRNA from 1 species
UACGAAGGGGGCUAGCGUUGCUCGGAAUCACUGGGCGUAAAGGGUGCGUAGGCGGGUCUUUAAGUCCGGGGUGAAAUCCUGGAGCUCAACUCCAGAACUGCCUUUGAUACUGAGGACCUUGAGUUCGGGAGAGGUGAGUGGAACUGCGAGUGUAGAGGUGAAAUUCGUAGAUAUUCGCAAGAACACCAGUGGCGAAGGCGGCUCACUGGCCCGAUACUGACGCUGAGGUGCGAAAGCGUGGGGAGCAAACAGG